rnacentral:rRNA from 1 species
UUUUCAGAACCAUUUCUCUUGCCAGUCCUUCAAAGUCCCUCAAAAAGUCAGCGGAUUCUCGCCCUUUGGGUUUGCUUAGCCAUACUAUGAAGAUGCUCUGUUCAACUUGGCCUUUGUGUGAUGAACAUCAAAUCAUUGAUGCAUUUGUAUCUCCUUUGGCUGGAUACAGACUUCCAUAUUCCAAGAAGAAGGGCUUAAAUGAUGUAUGUGAAUAAUUGAAGGGCAGCAUUAAUAGGCCUUUUCUAUUUGGUCAUUUGAUUGCACCAAAGAUUUAUUAUUUUCCACUGCUUUAAGGAUACAACCAAUGCGGCAAUUUGAUUGCACCAAAGAUUUAUUAUUUUCCACUGCUUUAAGGAUACAACCAACGAGACAACUUCUGAAGG